GGGUGGUGACGCGGCACGGCCGCGCGCCUGCCCAAAUCAUGGAGUCAGUCAUAGAGUCAGUCACGGAGUGGUGGAAUCGUCAAUAUUGGAAAAGACCCGCAAAAUUAUCUAGUCUGACCAUCCACCCGGCACUGCCACUGUGACCCCAUAACCACUAAGCUGCGUCACCCAGUGCCAGAUCCAGUCGCCUCUUGAGCACCUCCAGGGAUGGUGACUACCGCCUUCCUGGGCAACCUAUUCCAACACCUGCCCACCCUAACAGUGAAUUUUUUUUCUUAUAUCUAAUUAGAAUCUCCCUUGUCUCAGCUAAGGCCAUUUCCUCUUGUCCUCACUGCAGGCACGGAAGAACAGAGCACUCCCCACCUCACCUCUCUUCUCAGAGAGUUGUAGUGAGAAUGAUGUCCCCUCCCAAAGCCUCCUUUUCUUCAGUCCAAACACCCCCAGGUUCCUAGCUGCUCCUCAUAGGAUAUAUUCUAUGUGCUGGCCAGGCAGCUCUGCUGCACUUAGGGCAGGGGUCUUACCACCGUGUGCCUGGGGUUGAGGUAAGACCUGGGCCCACAGCCUUGUUAUCUCCGCUCAGUGCUCCAGGACGGUCUCCCUGCCCUUCAUCCUCCCUGUUGGCAUGAGGGGCAGUGCUGACCCAAGGCACCAUCCUUUGAGUCAAAAACUGAAAAGUCAGCUUCGGCUUCCUGCCCUCAUAAAUAGGAUCAGUGCCACUGUAGAGAUGUAAUAAUGCACAAGAAUUUUGAGAGCUUCUCUCAAUGGAGCCUUGUGUGCCAACCACCACUUUUGGGAGCUGUUCUGCUCUGCACUCCUGCUCUGCUGUCAGGAGGCAUGAGUGAAUCAGUGCAGUCAGUACAGAAUCACAGAGUGGGUAAGACUGGAAGACAGCACAGCAGGUCAUCUAGUCCAACCCCCUGCUCAGGGUCAUCCCAGAGCACAUGGCACAGGACUGCAUCCAGACAGUUUUUGAAUAUCUCCAGUCAGGGAGACUCUACAGACUUUCUGAGAAAUCUGUUCUAGUCCUCAGUUCUUCCUCAUAUUCAGGUGGAACUUCCUGCACAUCAGUUUCUGCUUGGUGCCUCUUGUUCUGUUGCUUGGCACCACUGAGAAGAGUGUGGCUCCCUCUGACUUGACACCCAGCCUUUAAAUAUUUAUACAUAGGGAUGUUGUUGUUUUCCCCUAGGAGCUAAUCUGACUGCCCUAAAUAGAAUAACAGAAUCAGUUAGGCUGGGAAAGACCUCUGAGGUCAGAGUCCAACCUUUGACUAAACACCACCAUGCCAACUACACCAUGGCACCGGGUACCAUUUACAGUCUUUUCUUAAGCACCUUCAGGCAUGAGGACUCCACCCCCACCCAGGGCCACGGGUUCCAGUGGUUAACACCCUUCCCGUGGAGGAGCAAUCACCGCGUGGAACACAGAGUGGAAGUAUGUACUUGUGUUAGCAGGCACUGCUCAAGCUAAUGCAACAUUGAAAGUCCAUAUUUCUUACUUCAUUGGCACUUCUGCGUUAAAGUCUGUUUUGUGAGGAACUCUCUAGUCCUUCCUAUGCAGUCGCUCUAAAUCCACAUUCACCUUACAGAGAAUCCAGGGAGAUGCAACCUAGGAUCCCAAGGGAACAAGACUGCUUGUAAACCUGUGAUGAGAGAUGACAAGACGUUCCUCUGGCAGCAGGAUAACCAAGGGGCAAUAUUGAAGCUGGGACCUGAUGCUCUCAGGUGUGAGAGGACUGGCAAGAAAGGGCAUGUUACAGUUGCCCAAUUAUGUUUCACAACAAGACAGAAAGAAAACUCACAGGCUGAGUUUAUCUCUAGAAAUCUAAGUAUUUGAGAUUUUUUCAUGGAUUGAAACUAUAUAUAAAAUAUAUUUUAUCACUCUAAUUAUAAUACACAGGUCUUUCAGUUCUCUUUAGGUAGUAAGAUUUUUAAGGGAAAAGUAGAUCCUUCACUGGUUUUCUAUUGCUUAAAAGCUACUGAUGUCUAUAGCCUCUACAUUAUCUUAUUGUGAAAGCAAUUCCCAAUUACCUCCCUUAAAAUUACAGUACUUGUAGAAAUUAAUCACAUCAUUAUUCUAUAUGAAUAGAUUUCUUCCUGAGUGUCCCCAAAAUAGAGGUUAGUUAUGUGGCUAAUGCACUUUUUUUAUGUAUUUGUUGUAGAUACACAUCCAGGUUGGGUAAUGUAAAAAAUUGACCAGGAACAUAAAUGCAAGAUGAAAUCACCAGUCUCCUAAGUGUUGCAGUUCAUGAGAAAUAUUUUAAAAGCCAAAUUAUUUCAAUAUACCAUGCUUGUAUGUAUGCUUUUAACAAUGCUUUAUUUUGGGAAACCUAAAGACUUAAUGCAAGUGCAAAACCAUAAA